CCUACGGGCUGCAGCAGUGGGGAAUAUCGCACAAUGGGCGCAAGCCUGAUGCAGCCAUGCCGCGUGUAUGACGAAGGCCUUCGGGUUGUAAAGUACUUUCAGCGGGGAGGAAGGUGUUGUGGUUAAUAACCACGACAAUUGACGUUACCCGCAGAAGAAGCACCGGCUAGCUCCGUGCCAGCAGCCGCGGUAAUACGGAGGGUACAAGCGUUAAUCGGAAUUACUGGGCGUAAAGCGCACGCAGGCGGUCUGUCAAGUCGGAUGUGAAAUCCCCGGGCUCAACCUGGGAACUGCAUUCGAAACUGGCAGGCUAGAGUCUUGUAGAGGGGGGUAGAAUUCCAGGUGUAGCGGUGAAAUGCGUAGAGAUCUGGAGGAAUACCGGUGGCGAAGGCGGCCCCCUGGACAAAGACUGACGCUCAGGUGCGAAAGCGUGGGGAGCAAACAGGAUUAGAUACCCCGGUAGUC
rnacentral:rRNA from 1 species